UACAGAGGUCUCAAGCGUUGUUCGGAUUCAUUGGGCGUAAAGGGCGCGUAGGCGGCGGGGUAAGUCGGGUGUGAAAUCUCAGAGCUCAACUCUGAAACUGCACUCGAUACUGCUCUGCUUGAGGACUGGAGAGGAGACUGGAAUUCACGGUGUAGCAGUGAAAUGCGUAGAUAUCGUGAGGAAGACCAGUGGCGAAGGCGGGUCUCGUGGACAGUUCCUGACGCUGAGGCGCGAAGGCCAGGGGAGCAAACGGG
rnacentral:rRNA from 1 species